rfam:Octopus bimaculoides Scaffold36286_contig_1, whole genome shotgun sequence.
AGUACGAUGGCCGAGUAGUUAAGGCGUUGGACUUAAGUUCCAAUGGACAAGUGUCCGAGUGGGUUCGAACCCCACUCGUGCUA